UACAGAGGGUGCGAGCGUUGUCCGGAAUCACUGGGCGUAAAGGGCGCGUAGGUGGUGGCUUAAGCGUGCGGUGAAAGCUCGGAGCUCAACUCCGAGUCGGCCGUGCGAACUGGGCUCACUGGAGCAUAGUAGAGGCAGGUGGAAUUCCGGGUGUAGCGGUGGAAUGCGUAGAGAUCCGGAAGAACACCGGUGGCGAAGGCGGCUCACUGGCCCGAUACUGACGCUGAGGCACGAAAGCGUGGGGAGCAAACAGG
rnacentral:rRNA from 1 species